CCUGCGGGGCUCGGCUGCUCUCCGCCGGUGCGGCGGGGCCCGAUCCCGCCCGCAAACCUCUGAGCCCUGCCGAGACGCCCCCCGCCGCCGCUGCCCCGUCCCCAGCCAGCCCGCUGCCCCCAGCGGAGCCUCUCCUGCCCCCCGGUCGGCAGCACGGAAGGGAGGGGGGGCGCAGCAAGGGGGGUCCCGGGCGCCUUCCCGAGGUGAGAGAGCGGGGCGCGGGGCUCCGGUUGUGCCCCCCGAGAAGGAGCAGCCACGGAAGAAGAACGUACAACGUGCGAUCCUGAACACGCCAGUCUCCCCAGCGAGGAGAUUAUUAGACUCUCUCCCCACAGCGGGGGAUUAGCUCUCGCAGCAAGGUACGCACUGACGUCACCCCCAGCAAUCUGCCCCCGACCUCAGCAGCACCAGCACCAGCAGAGCAGCACCAACCGCCAGCAGGCUAGAGGACAGCUGGCCUUGCAGAGCCCUGACUCAGGCAGGAAACAAACUCAUAAGCACUAGAUGGGAGUCACGCAGAAAUCUGUGCACUUUCUAGGACAAAUGUGACCUGUCUCCUGCCAGCAACAGCCACAUCAGUAAUGGUACCCACAUAAUUCAUCCACCGCUUUGAAUUUUCUGCUUCUCCAUGAAGUAUCCACUAUCCUGUGUUUGGCAUAGCAUUUGAAGCAGAGCAAGUCUCUCUCCAGCACUGGAUUUCACAGGUAUUACUGACAGAAGAGUGACAGCAACCCUUGAGUUUUCCUCCAAGCUCCAGGAGAGGGCUUUUUUUUUUUUUUUUUUAAUAGCACACUCCCAUCUGUUUGCUUCCCGUGUCCCUGUUUUUCCUUAUCUUCGUUUGUUAUUUCUAACCUGCACUCAUUCUCUCCUCACUCUUGGCUCUUCAUCCCAGUUUUGUUUUUCUUAUCUAGUUAAUGGUAGUGUCUGAUUCUCAUCACUGUUCCAGCUGUCCUAGCUGUACUCUUCUUUAAUCUUAUUCUGGGGCUCCUCACUCUCAGAUUCACAUUUAGCUGUGCAAUUUUUGCUUGUUUUCACUCCCAUUGUCUAGCUGCUACUUUUCUUCGGCUAUUUCACAUGAUUUAACUUCCACUUAUGUCAACAUUCACCUUCCUUGUAUGUUCCGUGCUCUGGGUAUGUACCAAAAAGUUGGUCUUGCUCUUUGGCUUUAUAAACCAAUUACAGAGUUACCCUUGUGCUUGGCCAAGGGUAUAGCCUUACAUCUCUGUUCAAGCAGUUUUGAUCGCUUGCAACCCUCCUUCUCUUUCUUUUUAGUCUUAACAUCUCAGGCCCACUACCUUAUGCAAACAAUUUCCUUGUCCCAAAACACACCCACCAUUCCCACUGCUGAUUUCUCCUAAUCACUUCCCAGUGAAAAAAAGAUUUAGAAAGAAAGAAGUGUUAUGUCAACUUUACCAUGCUGCAAGAUCAGUUCUUCCCUACUCAAAUCAGACAGCCUGCCCCUCUUCAUCCCAUAGUUACAUCAUAGAGCACUGAGCAUGAGAAAGCAUCUCAUCUUCUCAGUUCCAGACCAAAGCAAGGCAUAGCUCAAAAUGAUCAUGUAAAAUGUCAUUGCAGAUGAGAUACCCAGGUAAGAUAGCUGCUGAAGCUGCAUUCAAGGCUGACUGUGGUGGCGUAUAAGUCCGUAGUCUUAAAAACAAAAAAGAUACAUCCCUUGACCUAAGUACUGACACUUCCCUCCUUUCUGUUCUGCUCAAGAUUUAAGUACAUUUCCUACAGGCUGAGCAUACUGAAGACCUUCCAAAAAUACUGCUGCAACUUUUAAUUAGGAGCAAACCCAUAUAUUUUGGAGCUCCGUUUUCAAGUACCUGGGUAAUUUAAGAUAAUAUUUAAAAGAAAUGUUAAAGAACAAGAAAUCAAAACUACAAAUCAGCCUACAGCAGAUACCCACAUGGAAAAUAUUAUACCCAAUCUUUACAAUUAAGCAAAGUUAUGUAAACAACUUAAACAGUAUUUAUUUACAGACAGUGUCAGCAAACUUGAAUAAUAAUUACGCUACCACAUUCUGCUUAUAGCUGUGUGUUAUGCCAUCUCCAUUUUUAAUACCUUAAAAACUGCAAAAGAAGAGCAUAUAAAACUACAUUGAGAACACAUGCUGAUGUUAAAACAAGUGAUCAAGCAACAACAACAAAACCAGCGGUGCAAUACUUAAAUUAGAAGCUGUUCUGUGUUUGCUCAGCAUCCCUGAUCCCCAUCAGGCAAUAAAUCAAUUUGCAGUAGCUGUGGACAGCUAUUUAAACAUAGGGCCAGAAGAGCUUAAUUGUUAAAGCAAUGUUCAAAGUUAGAAGGCUCAGUAUAGGAGGUCAUACUAAAUAUUCGCUUCUCUGAAACCAGCUGCAUUCCAAGUAUGAGGAGGCAUCCUGCCCUCCUCUUAAUUAAAAAACACAGCCUAUGAGCCCUGAGCUUAGCAAAGCUUAGCUUGCAAUUCUUCAGAAUGCAGACAGAGACUGCCAGAUGAAGAACCGAUAUCUAAAUGUCUGCCAACUUGAUUUUGUCUGGUUUACUGUAUUAUCUAGCAAGCAAUACAGUUAAGGAACUGUUUUGAAAUCUUAGUUUAAUUUUACAAAUUGGCAAAGCACUCAAUUCAAUUCUCAGCUUUGUAAGAGGUUGCUCCUUGUCAAAGUCUACAGCAAACUUACUUUUUACUUGCAUGUGAACUGAACAGGAUUACUUAUCAGUGGUCUUCCUAAACAGUGAUUGCUGGUGAACAGUUUCUUUGGGAAUGAUGAUCCAAGUACAAAAAAUACAAUAAUAAUAUUACUACUCCUGUUCUGUCAUAAACCUUAUUGUGAUUCUUUUGAAAUAUUUUGCAGUUUUCAAUUUUAUCGCUGAACAUUUUAAGUAUUGUAAUGUUUUAAGUUAUAAUUCUACUUCAGGUACUAGUAAGCACUUCCUUAAUUUAAAAUACAUUAUUACUGAGACUUAUGAAUGUCAAAACAGCCUUUUGAUUAAAGUUGAACU